rnacentral:lncRNA from 1 species
CAAGCCCUUAUUACAAGGAAACUAUACAGAAAUUCUACGCCACUUUUAACGUUAUCAUCCUCCUCUCAACUCCAAUUUCGUUGUCUUCACCAACUUCAACAACUGCAAAUAAACCCAAUCAAAUAACUAUAUAUCUUGAAACAUAGGUAAAAAGGAAGCCCAUUAUGACAUAAAUAACGGUACAGCAAAAAAUCCAGGGAACUGGAAGAGUAUAGAAGCCUAACAAUAUUUGCAGCUUUACUAGCAAGCAUCUCAUAGAUCGACACCCUCAUCAAGGCCUUUGGAGUUUAUCAUCACAUUCGAAUCUAUCAGUUUGUCG